rnacentral:rRNA from 1 species
ACCCUACGGGGGGCAGCAGUGAGGAAUAUUGGUCAAUGGGAGAGAUCCUGAACCAGCCAAGUCGCGUGAGGGAAUAAGGCCCUACGGGUCGUAAACCUCUUUUGCCGGGGAGCAAGGGCCGGGACGAGUCCCGGUCCGGAGAGUACCCGGAGAAAAAGCAUCGGCUAACUCCGUGCCAGCAGCCGCGGUAAUACGGAGGAUGCGAGCGUUAUCCGGAUUUAUUGGGUUUAAAGGGUGCGUAGGCGGGCUUUUAAGUCAGCGGUAAAAAUUCGGGGCUCAACCCCGUCCGGCCGUUGAAACUGGGG